CAUGACGUGUGUUCGACUGACAAUAGGAGCCGUUUGGUAUACGCUUUUGCAUCACUAUAACACUAUACAAAUGGUUUUUAGUUUGACAGUAACAUAUUAUUGCGUGCCGAGCGGCGUAUAGAUACACGUACACCAUAAUAUAUAUAUAUACGUACUGUAACCGGUCAAAAAACAGAUCCGUUACUUUAUCGCGGUCGUAAGUAGAUAUAUAUGCAUACAUAUAAUGUAUUAAGCAAUAUAGGUUCCUUGCUACGUUCGGGAUCUAGAAAAAAAAAAAA